AUUGAACGCUGGCGGAAUGCUUUACACAUGCAAGUCGAGCGGCAGCACGGGGGUAACCCUGGUGGCGAGCGGCGAACGGGUGAGUAAUACAUCGGAACAUGCCCAGUCGUGGGGGAUAACACUUCGAAAGAAGUGCUAAUACCGCAUACGUCCUGAGGGAGAAAGCGGGGGAUCGCAAGACCUCGCGCGAUUGAAGUGGCCGAUGUCAGAUUAGCUAGUUGGUGGGGUAAAGGCCUACCAAGGCAACGAUCUGUAGCUGGUCUGAGAGGAUGAUCAGCCACACUGGGACUGGGACACGGCCCAGACUCCUACGGGAGGCAGCAGUGGGGAAUUUUGGACAAUGGGGGCAACCCUGAUCCAGCCAUUCCGCGUGAGUGAAGAAGGCCUUCGGGUUGUAAAGCUCUUUCGGCAGGAACGAAACGGUGAGCUCUAACAUAGCUUGCUAAUGACGGUACCUGAAGAAGAAGCACCGGCUAACUACGU
rnacentral:rRNA from 1 species